UACGGAGGGUGCGAGCGUUGUCCGGAAUCAUUGGGCGUAAAGGGCGCGUAGGUGGCCCGGUCAGUUCGUGGUGAAAGCGCGGGGCUCAACCCUGCGUCGGCCAUGAAUACUGCCGCGGCUGGAGCACUGUAGAGGCAGGCGGAAUUCCGGGUGUAGCGGUGGAAUGCGUAGAGAUCCGGAAGAACACCGGUGGCGAAGGCGGGUCUCUGGGCCGGAUACUGACGCUGAGGAGCGAAAGCGUGGGGAGCGAACAGG
rnacentral:rRNA from 1 species